rnacentral:sRNA from 1 species
UUGCACCAACUUCCUCCAAUGUUGCCUG